CUGAUAGAACAGAGAUAGAUUGGAGAGGUGAGUCUGACUGAUAGAAUAGAGAUAGAUUGGAGAGGUGAGUCUGACUGAUAGAAUAGAGAUAGAUUGGAGCGGUGAGUCUGACUGAUAGAAUAGAGAUAGAUUGGAGAGGUGAGUGACUGAUAGAAUAGAGAUAGAUUGGAGAGGUGAGUCUGACUUAUAGAAUAGAGAUAGAUUGGAGAGGUGAGUGACUGAUAGAAUAGAGAUAGAUUGGAGAGGUGAGUCUGACUGAUAUAAUAGAGAUAGAUUGGAGAGGUGAGUCUGACUGAUAGAACAGAGACAGAUUGGAGAGGUGAGUCUGACUGAUAGAACAGAGAUAGAUUGGAGCGGUGAGUCUGACUGAUAGAAUAGAGAUAGAUUGGAGAGGUGAGUGACUGAUAGAAUAGAGAUAGAUUGGAGAGGUGAGUCUGACUGAUAUAAUAGAGAUAGAUUGGAGAGGUGAGUCUGACUGAUAGAACAGAGAUAGAUUGGAGAGGUGAGUCUGACUGAUAGAAUAGAGAUAGAUUGGAGUCUUACUUGUAGAAUAGAGAUAGAUUGGAGAGUUGAGUCUGACAUAGAAUAGAGAUAGAUUGGAGUCUGACUGAUAGAACAGAGAUAGAUUGGAGAGGUGAGUCUGACUGAUAGAAUAGAGAUAGAUUGGAGAGGUGAGUCUGACUGAUAGAACAGAGAUAGAUUGGAGCGGUGAGUCUGACUGAUAGAACAGAGAUAGAUUGGAGCGGUGAGUCUGACUGAUAGAAUAGAGAUAGAUUGGAGAGGUGAGUGACUGAUAGAAUAGAGAUAGAUUGGAGAGGUGAGUCUGACUGAUAGAACAGAGAUAGAUUGGAGAGGUGAGUCUGACUGAUAUAACAGAGAUAGAUUGGAGCGGUGAGUCUGACUGAUAGAACAGAGAUAGAUUGGAGAGGUGAGUCUGACAUAGAAUAGAGAUAGAUUGGAGCGGUGAGUCUGACAUAGAAUAGAGAUAGAUUGGAGAGGUGAGUCUGACAUAGAAUAGAGAUAGAUUGGAGCGGUGAGUCUGACUGAUAGAAUAGAGAUAGAUUGGAGAGGUGAGUGACUGAUAGAAUAGAGAUAGAUUGGAGAGGUGAGUCUGACUGAUAUAAUAGAGAUAGAUUGGAGAGGUGAGUCUGACUGAUAGAACAGAGAUAGAUUGGAGAGGUGAGUCUGACUGAUAUAACAGAGAUAGAUUGGAGCGGUGAGUCUGACUGAUAGAAUAGAGAUAGAUUGGAGAAGUGAGUCUGAAUGAUAGAAAAGAGAUAGAUUGGAGAGGUGAGUCUGACAUAGAAUAGAGAUAGAUUGGAGUCUGACUGAUAGAACAGAGAUAGAUUGGAGAGGUGAGUCUGACUGAUAGAAUAGAGAUAGAUUGGAGAGGUGAGUCUGACUGAUAGAACAGAGAUAGAUUGGAGCGGUGAGUCUAAAUGAUAGAAUAGAGAGAGAUUGGAGCGGUGAGUCUGACUGAUAGAAUAGAGAUAGAUUGGAAAGGUGAGUCUGACUGAUAUAAUAGAGAUAGAUUGGAGUGGUAGUCUGACUGAUAGAAUAGAGAUAGAUUGGAGAGGUGAGUCUGACUGAUAGAAUAGAGAUAGAUUGGAGCGGUGAGUCUGACUGAUAGAAUAGAGAUAGAUUGGAGAGGUGAGUCUGACUGAUAGAAUAGAGAUAGAUUGGAGAGGUGAGUCUGACUGAUAGAAUAGAGAUAGAUUGGAGAGGUGAGUCUGACUGAUAGAACAGAGAUAGAUUGGAGUCUGACUGAUAGAAUAGAGAUAGAUUGGAGAGGUGAGUCUGACUGAUAGAACAGAGAUAGAUUGGAGAGGUGAGUCUGACUGAUAGAAUAGAGAUAGAUUGGAGAGGUGAGUCUGACUGAUAGAAUAGAGAUAGAUUGGAGAGGUGAGUCUGACUGAUAGAAUAGAGAUAGAUUGGAGAGGUGAGUCUGACUGAUAGAACAGAGAUAGAUUGGAGUCGUGAGUCUGACUGAUAGAACAGAGACAGAUUGGAGAGGUGAGUCUGACUGAUAUAACAGAGGUAGAUUGGAGCGGUGAGUCUGACUGAUAGAACAGAGAUAGAUUGGAGAGGUGAGUCUGACAUAGAAUAGAGAUAGAUUGGAGUCUGACUGAUAGAACAGAGAUAGAUUGGAGAGGUGAGUCUGACUGAUAGAACAGAGAUAGAUUGGAGAGGUGAGUCUGACAUAGAAUAGAGAUAGAUUGGAGUCUGACUGAUAGAACAGAGAUAGAUUGGAGAGGUGAUUCUGACUGAUAGAAUAG
rnacentral:lncRNA from 1 species